AUUACUUCUCAGCCUUUAGGCUAAGAUCAAGUGUAGUAUCUGUUCUUACCAAUUUAAUAAUAAUGUAUCAGUAUUGGCUCAUUAUUUUUAACAAAUUUACCUCACUAAUUCAAGAUGUUAACGAUCAGGGAAACUGUGUGGGGAGGAGGUGUAUAGAGAACUCUCAGUCAUAUAUGCUCA
rnacentral:snRNA from 1 species